rnacentral:rRNA from 1 species
GACGAACGCUGGCGGCGUGCUUAACACAUGCAAGUCGAACGAUGAAGAAAAGAAUCGAAGCUUCGGCAGAAAUUCAUUUCGGAUUAGUGGCAGACGGGUGAGUAACGCGUGAGCAACCUACCUCUUACAAAGGGAUAGCCUCGGGAAACCGGGAUUAAUACCAUAUAACAUUGUGACGAAGCAUUUCGAUGCAAUCAAAGCUACGGCGGUAAGAGAUGGGCUCGCGUCCCAUUAACCGGAUGGUGAGGUAACGGCUCACCAUAGUGACGAUGGGUAACCGGCCUGAGAGGGUGAACGGUCACACUGGAACUGAGACACGGUCCAGACUCCUACGGGAGGCAGCAGUGGGGAAUAUUGCACAAUGGAGGGAACUCUGAUGCAGCGACGCCGCGUGAGUGAUGAAGGAAUUCGUUUCGUAAAACUCUGUUCUUGGGAAGAAAAGGACUGUACCAUAGGAGAAAGCUCCGGCUAAAUACGUG